AUUGAACGCUGGCGGCAUGCUUUACACAUGCAAGUCGAACGGUAACAGGCCGCAAGGUGCUGACGAGUGGCGAACGGGUGAGUAAUGCAUCGGAACGUGCCCAGUCGUGGGGGAUAACUACUCGAAAGAGUAGCUAAUACCGCAUACGAUCUAUGGAUGAAAGCGGGGGACCGUAAGGCCUCGCGCGAUAGGAGCGGCCGAUGUCAGAUUAGGUAGUUGGUGGGGUAAAGGCUCACCAAGCCAACGAUCUGUAGCUGGUCUGAGAGGACGACCAGCCACACUGGGACUGAGACACGGCCCAGACUCCUACGGGAGGCAGCAGUGGGGAAUUUUGGACAAUGGGCGCAAGCCUGAUCCAGCAAUGCCGCGUGCAGGAAGAAGGCCUUCGGGUUGUAAACUGCUUUUGUACGGAACGAAACGGCUCUGGUUAAUACCCGGGGCUAAUGACGGUACCGUAAGAAUAAGCACCGGCUAACUACGUG
rnacentral:rRNA from 1 species